rnacentral:rRNA from 1 species
UACGUAGGUGGCGAGCGUUGUCCGGAUUUACUGGGCGUAAAGAGCGCGCAGGCGGUCGUUCAAGUCGCGUGUGAAAGCCCCCGGCUCAACUGGGGAGGGUCACGCGAUACUGAUCGACUCGAAGGCAGGAGAGGGUAGUGGAAUUCCCGGUGUAGUGGUGAAAUGCGUAGAGAUCGGCAGGAACACCCAGGGGGAAACCAGUCGACUGGGCAUCUACUGACGCUGAGGUGCGAGAGCGUGGGGAGCGAACCGG